rnacentral:other from 1 species
AAAAGCCUGAGGUGUUCGAUAACUCCUGAUAUUUUGAACCUACACUUUUUGAUUGGGAUUCCUACAUUUAUGAGUGGAUGUCAAGCCUCCUUAGCAGUGGAAGACAGAUACUUAUCUGCGGUUGCCCACCUAGCGUAUGCUAGGACUCAAAAUUCAGGAACCGGCAUUUUGGGUAUUGU